UACAGAGGUCUCAAGCGUUGUUCGGAUUCAUUGGGCGUAAAGGGUGCGUAGGUGGCGGGGCAAGUCUGGUGUGAAAUCUCGGGGCUUAACUCCGAAACUGCAUUCGAUACUGCCGUGCUUGAGGACUGGAGAGGAGACUGGAAUUUACGGUGUAGCGGUGAAAUGCGUAGAUAUCGUAAGGAAGACCAGUGGCGAAGGCGGGUCUCUGGACAGUUCCUGACGCUGAGGCACGAAGGCCAGGGGAGCAAACGGG
rnacentral:rRNA from 1 species